CGGCUCACUCCUUGGCGGCCGCUUAUCGGGGCCUGGAGCCUGGGGUUCGCUCGGGCCACUUUGGAGGUGGGGUGCCCCCGGCCUCUCGGCCUGGGGCUCGGUCACUCAGGCACGGCUGGCUGCCGGCGGAGCUCACGGGCGCGUCACUGCAACUCCCCCUGACUUCUGCUCCGCGGCUGCUGGGCGAGCCCUCAUCUGGGACUCUCCUCAGCUCUUACUGGGACAGUGGCGCGGCUGCCCCUCUGUUGGUCUUCCUUGGUCUCUUGUGUUCUGGGGGCCUCUGGAUGUCUGGAGUUUUGAUCUCCUCCAUACCUGCUUCAUACCCUGGAGGACGGGGCUGUGGCCCCCCCCACACUCCCUAGCAGAUCGUUACAUGGAGAAACCUUUGGAAUGCAAGCAUGCUGAUCCACACAGGUAUGCACACAGGUGUACACACGGGUAUUCACAGAUGCGGACUACAGCUUUCUUGGCUGCUGCCUCAAAGCACAUUGUGCGCUGUCUAUCUUGCGUGCUGCACAAUAUCGUUUAUUAUGUAGUAUCUACUGAUAUCUACUGCUAGCUAGUUUAUUGUGAUGGUGCUGUUUUUCUUAUUAUGUUGCUCUUUGUUGUUUGCUUUCUCUUCUGUUUUUUUUCUCCAUACAGGUGACCCAGGUGUUUUGUUUUUUUGUUUGUUUGUUUUUUUCUUUCUUCCCCCCCCUUCUCACCGUCUCUUCUCCCCUUUGGUUUUCUUUCUCUCCCUCUCUUUCUUUCAUUCUUUCUCCCUGUCCUAUCCCCCAGUCAUGUCUGUCCCGUUUGUAGCAACUGAAAAUAAAAUAAAUUCAUAAUUAUAAUAAAGGUCAAUCAAAUGGACCAAUAUGGCAAGGCCAUGAUGAUCCACUUGGUAAAAUAAAUCCGCUUGGCAUCUUUCUUGGCCUUAAGACAACAAUUCUGAUGGCUAAAGAUCCAAACGGGACACACAAAAAAAAAAAAAGAAGGAUGUGUGGGCAUUUCUACUUAAACUAAUUCCCCCAUGACCUCGACCUGGGUAAGUGGCAGAAUAUGGAUAGAUGAAUGUGAGUCCAUAACUAUGGCUGUCCAAUCUGUGAAAGAUGCCACCAUUAUAACUCUGACAUAUCAAAGCAAUGUCAUAUCAGCCUACAAAGAUAACUUCUUGAUCAUUUCCACUGGAGUUUUCUUUAAACACUUACAGGAAACAUUUGUCCUUCUUAUUGAAAUUUUAACAUGAAAGUGUAUAGGCAUAUUAAUCAAAAUGUGAAAAUGCUCCUUUAAGUGUUAGUGGUUGCAAUAAAGCAACCCCUUCCAAAAAUAAAUAAAUAAAUAUAAAACUGAGUUGAAUUGGUAUGACACCGUUGCUCCUGGGAAUAAUUUGUGAUACUGUUUAUUG
ensembl:lncRNA